ACCCCCAAAAUUGAAAAACCCCGUAAAACCCCAAAACCCGAAACCCCAGUUACCCCUCUCUCUCUCCCGCGCAGCUCUUCUCUUUCAGUUCGCCGGAAUACCCCCUGUUGCUCGUCGGAGAUUGCUUUCCGUUCACCGGCGUUGUCGUUCGAGUCUUUCUCUCUCCUCCCUCGAAGCUCUCUUUUUUUCCUUUCGCGCGUUUGUUGUUCGCGAUUGUGCUGCCGCUCUCCACGCCGUUGUUGGGUGGUGCUCCGCCACCACCGCACGUCGUCGUUCUGCUGCAGGUUGUGGUCGUGGUGCCGUCACCGGUCGGAUCUUCCCUCCCCUGCUCGCGUUGCUGUUGUUGGUUGAUUGCUGCUGCCGUUGUGUUACUGUCGUCCUUCGUCGCGAGCCGCUGCUUGGGUUCUUGUCUUCGUGCCGCCACUGCUGCCUCGUGGUGCUGCCAGCCGUGGUGGUGGCGUGUUUUGUGGUUUGACAGAGUAUCUUAAAUGUUUCAGGUUGAAGCCGUGAGUUAUUCUUUUGCAAGUUGAAGCUGAUACGAGAUGAUGCAGUAUUAUAUUUGUUAUUGAAGUGAGGACGCUCCAUUUGUAAUAGUUAAUCGUUUAAUUUCUAUAAUAUAUUUUCUCUAUUUAAGAAUCGCUAGCUAAGUGCUCCUGAUUCUCUGUUGGUUGUUGCUCCGCGAAAGCGUUGAGAUUGUUGAGCUUUGGGAUUUGGAAAUAUUUUAUAAAUUGAAAUUGCAACAGAUUCAUAUUA